rnacentral:rRNA from 1 species
GACGAACGCUGGCGGCGUGCUUAACACAUGCAAGCGGAGCGACGAACCAGGCUUCGGCCUGGGGCAAAGCCGCGAACGGGUGAGUAACACGUGGGUAACCUGCCCCGAUGACCGGGACUAACCCGACGGAAACGUACGAGCUAAUACCGGAUGUGUCCUCUCGCAUCAGCGAGACGGGCGAAAGGAAGCUUCGGCCUCCGCAUCGGGAUGGGCCCGCGGCCCAUUAGCUUGUUGGUGAGGUAACGGCUCACCAAGGCUGCGAUGGGUAGCUGGUCUGAGAGGACGAUCAGCCACACUGGGACUGAGACACGGCCCAGACUCCUACGGGAGGCAGCAGUGGGAAUCUUGCGCAAUGGGCGAAAGCCUGACGCAGCGACGCCGCGUGAGGGAUGACGGCCUGGUUGUAAC